CAUGGCCUCCCCCACCCAGAGGCAGCUGGGCAGGGGAGGAGGUCAGAUUCGACUCACCGCUGGACUCAAAAGAGGAAAUCCCUGUGGGAAUCUUCUGCUUUUAACCCCUACCACACCUGUCAGGACGGACAUGUGGCCAGGUCCAUGCCAUCCCCCAUUCUGGUGAUACCCUGAAGGCACAGCACCCCACCUGUCCUCAUGCAUAGUCCCAGCUCUGCAAUGAAUAAAGGCCAACUUAGUGUCCGUGCCUUGGGACUGACUUCUAGGUUUUUCAUUUCUGUGAUGUCAUCAGAACUUAGUGGUGCUGAGACGUACAAACAAACUGAACCUUCCCUGAUCCUCUCCAAGUCUGAGAUAAGGAAAAUGGAUGUCAAUUUCUCAGCAUGACUGCAGUUGUCUACAGAGAUAAUUGGAAUAUUUUUGCUCCUGUUGCCCUAAAGAAGGAGGGCAGGAGUGUUGUUGCUGCUUCACAGAUGAAGAGAAAAGAGUUCAAGUGAAUUUUCUCAAGGUCACACAAUGACAUCAGCAGCAGAGCUGUGAUUUGAAGCCAAAUCUCCUGAACCACAGAAUUUAGACUAUUAAAAGACCAGAAUAUAUUGGAUGUAACAACCAUAAAGACACCCAAAUCAAAUGCAUAGUUUUCAUGCCCUUCCCCCUCCUCCCCCGCCCAACAAAACAGCAAAUUGCGGGCUUUGUUUAAACAUUGCUCCAGCAAUAUAAUAGCUCUUUAAUUUGCAAAGUUUGAUAGAUAGGACUGUUCACCUAGUCCCAAAUUUGCUGGCAUGGGAAUACUGCAGGGGAACCACAAUUUUCAAAAGAAUAUUUAUUUUGAAGUAGAUACAUGCCUCAUAGUUUCUUUCUUUAAAUCAACUGGGUAAGAAAAGCUAAGAUAUUCACCUCCUAGUCCUGAAUGGAAGGAUUCCAGCUGUUUCUCAAUUUCUAUCUUUAAAAUGUACCUUUGGUGAACUACUUUUCGAAAAAGUUUAAUUUAUCAUGCACACAACCUGCCAUUAUGUGCAGUAGUGGUCUAUUUUUCCUAUGUGCUCCACUGUCUCUCUAUUCCUGUUUGGCUCUUUUCCUUCAAACAGUCAGCAUAUUUGGACAGAACAACUUUUCCUGCUAUCCUAUGCAGCCUUUAGGCUUUUGGGGCCUAUUGAAAUACAAACCAGAAAUAGGCAGUUUCAUCCUAAAUGCCCCUUGCCUUUCCCCCAGUAAGUGGAGUUGUCGCCACAGGCUUAAAUCAGCACAUAAGCCUGAGAGGCUGCCAGUGUUCUGCAGAGACUGAGUGGUUCUGCUUACCACUUUUGGGGUAGUUCUCUUCUGAUACCUUAAAUAACCUGAUUUUCUGACAGCUUGGUCUAUCUACUUUAGCACUCAGCUCUCACAUUUUAACCUUGUCAGGGUUAUCCCCUAUCUCUUGUGCGUUGAUUAGUUGAGAAACUGGAGCUAGGUUAGUUCUGGUGUGUAGAACUGUAACAGCUUUCCCCCGCACCUGGCAGUUUCUGCUCUCAUUGACAAAUCUCAGCUCUAGAAACACUCUGCAUUUUUUCAUUUUUAUUGCUUUUCUUUUUGUUCUUUUCAUUUUUGGCAGCUUGGUCUGCUUCUGAACAGCUUUCAUUUAGGGUCACAUAUCUGCUGACUGCAAAGAUUCUGCUGAUUUAUGCUGCUUCCCUGACUAAUUUUGUCCUUUGCAAACAGACGGUGCUAGACUCUCUUAGAAAACCUCACCACUUUGCCCAUGACUUGGGCAAAGGUAUAAGUAUGUAUAACUUUGAACUCUGGAGGCCAUAGUACUAAGUGAAGCUUUCUGGACUCAGUAGCUUCCUGUCUUCAUUCCAAGAAAGAAAAUCAGAGGGAAAUGUUAUGUAUAGUGGAUUAAUAGUUCCCUUGGUCCCUAAGCAUUUGGUUCUGUGGAGAAGAAAAUUGUUCUGAGAUGGGAGGAUUUGCAGUCCUGAGUUAAUGUGAAAUAAGGCAGUCUACCAGUACAGUGCCAAGAGAUUAGUGAUUUAUUUCACCUGAACUGGUCUGUUUUGAGAAAGUCACUGUGUUGCACUAUUAUUUUAAUUGAUAUGGCAUUGAAAUGCACUACGAGGUGUAUGUCCAUCAGCACCUUACUCAUAUCCUCCACUGGUUUUGAAGAAUGCAUUGAAGUGACUAGGGACAUGGCUUGCUCAGUUUUGGGUGGGCAUAAUAGGCAGCAAGGUAUGUUGUUUUUCAAGAAAAGAGGGAUAUUAUCAGAUUUUGCUGUUUAGUGAGAAAAGAUGAAACCGAAUAAUACUCAGGCCAAACAGUUUAGUUCUGUUUAGUUUAGGUGAUCCCAUUCAUCUCCAGACUAUUCUGGUCUAGGAAAAGAAUGUAAUUUGAAACUCUCGGUGGCAGGUCAGACAGGGUGAUCUGGGACUGGCAAACUCUUCUCACUGCAAUGUUUCUUUGCCCUACUACAAGUGUUCAAAGUAGAGGUUUAAAAAAGAGUGUCUGAAAAUAAGCAGUUUGGCAGAACCAUGCCAGGUUUUAGUGUUUUCUGCAAAAGCACAUGGUAAGUCCCCUUAACCAUCAUUUUUGUGCUGAGUUGUCUUGAUUUCAUCUGCUAUUAGGAAUAUUUCUGUAAGAUUGUUAGCCUUAUCUUCUCUGCUCAGGACUCUCCUUAGAUAAUUGUGAGUGAUUUUAAUGCCUUUCCCCCACCCAAGCUUUGGACAGAACAGUAUAUGAGAUUUAGCUCAGCCUUUCCACUGAGCAGGUACAUAAGAGACCUCCCUAUCCAGUAAAAGCUGCUGAGUUUUCAAUCAUGUGGUUUGUGGGAGCAGUAGGGGAGGCAAUGUGUUCUUUAAAUGUGCUUCUGACAGGAGAGAAAAUGGCCUCCAGUGGCAGCAUGGGAAGUUUAGGUUAGAUACAAGAAAAAAUUUAUUCUGUGAAGAGUGAUCAGGCAUUGGAACAUGCUCCUCAGGGAAGUAGUAGAAUCACCAUGCCUGGAGCUAUAUAAAAAACAUGCAGAUAUGGUUCUUAGGGACAUGGUUUAGUGGUGGACAUGGCAAUCCUAGGUUAUUUGUUGGAUAUUUCCAGUCUUAAUGAUACUACAAUUCUGUUGUGCUAUGAUUUCAACUGUUUGCAAACUCUGUCUGUAUGCAGAGGAACUUUGUGACUCUGGCCUUGUUGACAAAUAAAAACUAUUUCUGAAGCAUAAAAAGCCCCACAAGAGCAAAACAUGGUGGCUUUGAAUGGAUGCCUGGAAAAUUGUAAGAA